rnacentral:rRNA from 1 species
UAAUUUGCAGAGGAUGCUUCUGGCGAGGUGCCUUCCGAGUUCCCUGGAACGGGACGCCACAGAGGGUGAGAGCCCCGUCUGGUCGGACACCGAGCCUCUGUGAAGCCCCUUCGACGAGUCGAGUAGUUUGGGAAUGCUGCUCUAAACGGGAGGUAUAUGUCUUCUAAAGCUAAAUACCGGCCAGAGACCGAUAGCGCACAAGUAGAGUGAUCGAAAGAUGAAAAGCACUUUGAAAAGAGGGUUAAACAGUACGUGAAAUUGUUGAAAGGGAAGCGCUCGCGACCAGACCUGGUCCCGGGGAAUCACCCGGCGUUCUCGCCGGUGCACUUCGGCGGGCUUCCAGGCCAGCAUCAGUCCGCGCCGGGGGACAAAGGCGGGGGGAACGUGGCUCCCCAGGGAGUGUUAUAGCCCGCCGCGCAAUGCCCCGGGGGCGGACUGAGGACCGCGCGUCACCGCAAGGAUGCUGGCGUAAUGGUCGCCAGCGACCCGUCUUGAAACACGGACCAAGGAGUCGUCCUCGUAUGCGAGUGUUGGGGCGUCAAACCCCCCGCGCGUAAUGAAAGUGAACGGCAGGUGAGAGCCCUCGCGGGCGCAUCAUCGACCGAUCCUGAUGUUCUCGGAUGGAUUUGAGUAGGAGCAUACGGGGCCGGACCCGAAAGAAGGUGAACUAUGCCUGUGUAGGGUGAAGCCAGAGGAAACUCUGGUGGAGGCUCGCAGCGGUUCUGACGUGCAAAUCGAUCGUCA